rnacentral:miRNA from 1 species
CAAAGUUGAUGGUGUUUAUGACGUCGAAUAUCGACGUCAUAAACACCAAAGUUGAUCGUGUUUAUGACGUCGAAUAUCGACGUCAUAAACACCAAAG